rnacentral:rRNA from 1 species
UACGGAGGGAGCAAGCGUUACUCGGAAUUAUUGGGCGUAAAGGGCGCGUAGGCGCUUUAACGAGUCUUGUGUGAAAGCCCCGGGCUUAACUCGGGAAGUGCACAAGAAACUGUUGAAUUUGAGUUCCGGAGAGGAAGGCAGAAUUCCCGGUGUAGCGGUGAAAUGCGUAGAUAUCGGGAGGAACAUCUGUGGCGAAGGCGACACCCUGGACCAGCACUGACACUGAGGCACGAAAGCGUGGGGAGCAAACAGG